rnacentral:rRNA from 1 species
AUUGAACGCUGGCGGCAGGCCUAACACAUGCAAGUCGAGCGGAUGAAGGGAGCUUGCUCCUGGAUUCAGCGGCGGACGGGUGAGUAAUGCCUAGGAAUCUGCCUGGUAGUGGGGGAUAACGUCCGGAAACGGGCGCUAAUACCGCAUACGUCCUGAGGGAGAAAGUGGGGGAUCUUCGGACCUCACGCUAUCAGAUGAGCCUAGGUCGGAUUAGCUAGUUGGUGGGGUAAAGGCCUACCAAGGCGACGAUCCGUAACUGGUCUGAGAGGAUGAUCAGUCACACUGGAACUGAGACCCGGUCCAGACUCCUACGGGAGGCAGCAGUGGGGAAUAUUCGACCAUGGGCGCAAGCCUGAUCCAGCCAUGCCGCGUGUGUGAAGAAGGUCUUCGGAUUGUAAAGCACUUUAAGUUGGGAGGAAGGGCAGUAAGUUAAUACCUUGCUGUUUUGACGUUACCAACAGAAUAAGCACCGGCUAACUUCGUG